AUUGAACGCUGGCGGCAGGCCUAACACAUGCAAGUCGAGCGAGCGGCGGACGGGUGAGUAAUGUAUGGGGACUGCCCGAUAGAGGGGGAUAACUACUGGAAACGUUGGCUAAUACCGCAUACUAUCGGAUAACCCAUAUGGGAUUGGCUAGUGGGUGGGGUAAAGGCUAACCUAGGCUACGAUCUCUAGCUGGUCUGAGAGGAUGAUCAGCCAUACUGGGGCUGGAACGCGGCCCAGACUCCUACGGAGGCAGCAGUGGGGAAGAUUGCACAAUGGGCGCAAGCCUGGUGCAGCCAUGCCGCGUGUAUGAAGAAGGCCUUAGGGUUGUAAAGUACGUUCAGCGGGGAGGCGUUACCCGCAGAAGAGGCACCGGCUAACUCCGUGCCAGCAGCCGCGGUAAUAC
rnacentral:rRNA from 1 species